rnacentral:lncRNA from 1 species
GGGGGGGAAAAAAGAACAGGUCUUCCAUAAGGAAGAGUGAUUAACCAUGGUAACUUAAUUAACUAAAAUGACUUUCUGUGUCAGUUUCACCAGAGACCCCAAAGGCUGAGAACAAAACAGUAGGUGCCAAGUUUCUCUACAUUCUAAAGGAAGGAGACGCUAGAUCACCGGAGCGCCCAUGUUAAGCGCUUGCGCAGCAGGCCACUAGCUCUGAUGGGAAGGAUCAGUCGGCAUCCACCUCCAGGCUAUCACAGAAUGGGAGAGGACUCCUCUGGAAGCAGUUGUCUGGAUGCUGGACAUCCAAGCAGGAGAGGGAUGGGGGUGCUUUACUCUUCACCUCAUGCCAAAUGGGGGGCCUUCAAGAGGACAUUUGGACAGCGAGGCACAGCUCCUGGAGUUUGAGGGGCCUGGGGACUGGUAAAGUCUCAAGAUGAACUGUAGGUGGUCAGCUCCUGGGAAGACAGAGUGGCUGCCUGUGGACUGUACUCCAAGGCUCCCUGUAGGCCCAUGUGGUCCUCUAGGAACGAAGGCUAUUUUAAGAAGGUAUCCGACUAAAGGGAACAUGCGCAGAGGGACUGGAUGGCCUCUGUGGAGGGGAGGACUGCUGGAAACUAAAGCACUGGGGAAAGAGUCCUGGUGUCCAGCCAGAGAGAGCCUGGCCUCCAAGGAGAGGAGCUCUCAGAGAUGGAGAAGCCCCCAGGAACCCACGAGGAAGCUCUACCAGAGAAACAGCAACAUUUAAGAUCUGCCACUCCCAGAUGACACACCAGUGUAUGACUCUACUAGUCAAGGGAGACCUGUCCUCUGCGUCCUUCCCCUGCUUCCCUGGGAACAGGCCCAGAACCACAGCUAGCCAGUGGGGAGCAGGAGUGCGAGGAACAGAAACAAUGCUGGCUGUGCUCCUUCUUCCACAGACCUCCUGGCUGGAGGAGGAGAGAAAUUUUAAAUUAAAUCACAUUUGAAGUGUUAAUUUGAUAUUGGAUGGGACUUGCUGGUACAUAGAAAAAGAGACCUAUUCAUAAAGUAAUGAUAAGAAUAAAAACCACAAAUCUCUUACGUGUUACUGAAAAGAGACUGGAAAAGCUAUCAAUUUCAUCCAUGCCUAGGAAAGAAUAUAUGCUUACAGCUGAUUUGUAGGCCACUCAUGAGAAAAUCAAGGUGUUGCUCUCUGUACCUCAGCUUGCUGGAUGCAAGGUUGCACUGAGGAGAGCCCCAGGUCAUGCUGGCUGCCCAUGCCCACAGCCCUUGACUCAGUGGGUGGCUGCCUGAGCUAGCAGGCAGUUGGAGAAGUCUCAUCAAAUAAAGUUUGGAGUUUUAAUGGUAUACUAAUUGGAUCUUAUUAAAACCAAAGAAGAUUGUCCUGCCAUAUUCUGGAAAAGCUGUGUGACCCACCCUUUAAUUUCCUGCAGGAAAGGAAGAAGUCUCCCAGGAGGUUCCUAAGCGGUGGGUGGCUGGGAAGGGACAGCUUGUCUCUACUUGCCUCUAGCAGGUCCAGUUUGCUUGUCAAUAGUCACAUUUUCCUCUGAGUACCAUAAUGUUCUGCAGAAAUUAUACACUUCUUGAUUUGAUGAAAAGUAAGACCUUUAAAUAUCAGAAAGUAGUAUGUAAUGGGGAGUGGCCAUGAAAUUCUCCUAUAGAAAACUGUCCAAGGUAAACAUUAAUCACUAGUUUUCUUUCACAAAAGAGACAAGCAUUGCUCAUUUGCUGAUCUUUCCUUUGAUGACAAGAAGCUAUCAGGAGUAUGCUGUUGUGUAGUUUUUACAACCAGCUUUCAUUCCCACAUCCUUAUCGGUUACUCUCCAUAUUACAGGACCUAGAACUAUAGAAAUUUUCACAAAUAUCCUUGCCUUCAAGGUUCUGGAUGUAAGUUCUUUCUGCCAGAAUAUUUAUGCAGGUCUCCUGGGUGGAGGAGAAAGUGGUAUUCUAAAUUUGGCAGCAGCUAGGGAAUGUGGAUGCCAUGGUACACGUAAUUACAAGUUCUGCAGUAGCCAGCAAGUGGUCUAUCAGUGCCUAAGAACACUGGCCACUGAGACCAAUUACCAGGUUUCCUGCAUUUGCUGAUGUGGGUAACACCAACCAACAACCAGCCUCCUAUACUCUGAACUGUGGUGUGGCUAUAAACCUGUCCUAACUCCCGCCUUCAGCAGCCCUUUGAUAGUGCCAUAGGUAUCUAAAUGCCCUGCACUAGAUUCCUUCCUGCUUGGUUUCUCAUUUUCUCACAAAUCUGACUGACAUAACUGCUUAGCUGAUAUUUGGAAAGAAGUAAACAUACUUAUUAGGUCUCUUUAAGUUGAAAGUGAUUUUUUUUUGUAGCUGUAAGACAUUAACUACCAUUUUGAAAAAAAAAAAACUCAUGCUAUGAAGAAAGAAGUUUGAAAAUGGAUAUUUAGAAAUGUUUAUCACUAUGUGAUUUGUUGCCCAAAAUAAUGUGUUAAACAAGG